rnacentral:lncRNA from 1 species
GUGAUCAGAAAUCUUCUGAUUUUCAACCAGAAAAAUGACUGAAGAGUAUCAAAUGUAAAGUCUUUUGUACAAGGAAGAACACAGUUAUCAAUCUUUACAAGUACAGCACAUAGUCCUACUUUUCCAAAAUGUGGUAGUGCACAGGGGGAGGUUUUGGAAAGCUCAUCUCACAUGGGAUGCACUUCACUCAAAGCUUCUGAUCCCUCUCCCAGGAAAAGGGCUGAUUUGCAUCAGUGACCAUUAAUUCCCUACUUCUCUGAAAUGCCACGGGACAGCUGUCAAAAUCAGGUGCACUUUUUUGAAACUCAACACUAAUAAGGUUUCUGAAUUCUUAUGCAGGGGAAAUAAUGAGUGUUAAGAGUUGAGUAUCUCUGACUGGUACUGAAACUAGUAUCAGCUGAAUAGAAUUAGCAGCUUCCAGAACUAAGCAGGGUUUUUUUUAGGGCUUGGUUGUUAACGCUUCUAUUGAGUGAUUAAAUGUUAAUGGUAACUGAAUCAGUUAAAACAGAAAUGCAGGAUGCAUGCAGUAACAACAGCACCAAAGAAUGCCUACAUACUAAUUAAAGUCAAUAGACAUCCAGUGACAUUUUAAUAGCAGCUGGGAACUUUUUCUGUAUCUGUGCACCUUUGCAUUACCUGCUUGCAAACAGAAUACAACAAAUUUUUAAAAUAUUAACCCUUGCUCAUGUAGUAUUUUGAAAACUUGAAAAUUGUAUUCAGUAUCUUAAAACAAUGCCUAGAGGCACUCCUAAUCACCCAUUGAAGUAUGGAUCGCCAUCACUGUCUAACCAUCUCAUCGGUUCUGCCAAACCUCCUGGGAAGCCCAGACAUGCUGCUAAUCUUCCAGAUCUAACAACAGAGAGGGCUGGAAUACAGCCAUGCACAUACAAGAGCGAGCUGACUCACUACUGCCCAGCUUCAGAUGAAGUCAUCUAUACUCAGUGCCAGGUAACGUAUGAAAUUGCUAAUAAAAAUCAUACUACAGUAUCAGGCUGGUAGCAAUCUGCAUUCACUUCGUUCUUAAGGACGCUUUUGUACAACGUGCAAUGACUUGUGCUAGAGAAACCUGGAAGAAUAUCACAUUCUCUGGCCGCCCUAAAGCCUUCAGUUUUGAAAUCUCCAUUUGCUUCAAGCUGCCGAACAAGCUGUGAGAAGAAAUCCCUUCAUCCUACAGCUCCCUGCUGUGGAGCACACAGCCAGCACAGUUUAGCACAGGGACCUCAGCAGCAGACAAGAGAGAAAGCACGGUUGUGAAUAAAUUCAGGUUUUUACCUUGCUGUAAUGAUUUA